AUCAAAGACUGUAAACUCUGUACAUGAAGAGUCAGCAUCUUCACUCAAUAUUACCCAUCUGCUGGUUGUACCAUGCCCUUCAAAUAUCAUACAGUCAAUUGUAGGAUGAAAUGAUGCAUGGGUUCGGACAUGGUUUUGUAAUUCCAAGCCGUCAACAUGCAUCCUUUUUGUAAAAGAGAAUAAAUUGCUGAGGAAAAUAAUGCACAACUGAAGGAAGAAGUAUAAAGUUUGCCGGAAUAUAUGGAAGGAAUUGAGAAGAUGCUUCAGCAGCAGCAGCAGAUUUUGAAGCUUUCUUAUGACUAGCUUAUAUCUAGCCCUUUGUCUUUGAACUACAAAUUUUGUUGGGUAUUUGGAUUUCUUUGCAUUUAGUUUAAAAUGAUGUUUUAAUUUUUUAGGAUGUUCGGAACCAUUUGAUGUUAAAGCAACUAGUAGAUAUAUACUUUUAGUUAUUGUUUACAAAAUUGAAGAAUUUGUAAUUUCAUCAUGAGAUUAAGAGCUCGUUUGUUGGCACCGUAUUGUGGUGAUAAUCUAUUUUUUUCUUUCUAGAA